AGCAGCAGCCGCGGGAAUACAGAGGGUGCAAGCGUUAAUCGGAAUUACUGGGCGUAAAGCGUGCGUAGGCGGUGAGUUAAGUCUGCUGUGAAAUCCCCGGGCUCAACCUGGGAAUGGCAGUGGAUACUGGCUCGCUAGAGUGUGUCAGAGGAUGGUGGAAUUCCCGGUGUAGCGGUGAAAUGCGUAGAGAUCGGAAGGAACAUCUGUGGCGAAGGCGACUAUCUGGGCCAACACUGACACUGAGGCACGAAAGCGUGGGGAGCAAACAGGAUUAGAUACCCCCGUAGUCCCUGUCUCUUAUAA
rnacentral:rRNA from 1 species